AAAGGCUUCUAUAUAUAUCUCAAAUGCAAGCAGAAGAUAAAACAGUUCAGCUGGUUGCAGACCCCACCUAGUUUUGUUGCAAAAUACAAAUGGCUUAUUGGCUGGCCGGCUGUCUUGUAUGUUUGGAUUUUGAAACCGUGCAUCUGGACGUUAUGGAAAUGAGGAACGAAGAGAGUGACUGACGUAGAGCGGGUCUCAGACACUUCCAUGGAAAAGAUGGACCAGAGAAGACCCUUAUAACUGUCUUAAGGAAUGUUUCUGCAAUUUGGAAAAGAUGGACCAGAAAAGAUGUGCUUUAGAAAAUUUUCACUAACAUUUUUUAUCUUGUUUUCUUACCCAAAUCAUUGCAAAUUUCGUUGCUAUCACGGAAGAUCAUGUAUUCCAGUCUCUACCCACAUGGGCCCCUGAAACUGUAUCAGUUCAUAGCCAUGGUGACAGUGGUGAUGAUCCUCCUUUCUCAGCUGCCAUCUUUUUACUCCCUCAGAUACAUCAGCCUCACGUCUCUUCUUCUUAGCUUGGGCUAUACUUCUUUGGUUGUCAUUGCCUGUAUUCGUGCAGGAGAAUAAAGAAGGCCUUGAGUUGCUCAAGACUGCCAUUGCCAAAGCAGGUGUUGGCACAGUGUUGGUAAGUCAUAAUGCUGUCAUUCAAUUGAUUCUUGAAGAAUAAUUUUUUUUCCAAUGACAGGUGAUUAUUUGUAAUAUCUCCCCUGGUCUUAAUAUCUGUUAUUCUCUCUACAAAAUUAUCCUUUCUCCUUUCAUUGUAUUCCUUGGUCAUAAUGUUUAUCUGGAUGUUAUGCUU